rnacentral:lncRNA from 1 species
UUUCCAAAAGUUCUUAAAUAGAAUAUAAAACUAUUUAAUUUAUCCUCAAUAAAUUGCAGCGGAAUGUUUUUCAUUAAAUAAGAACAUCAACAUCCAUGUUUAAUACUCCACAAAAUAUCCUGGCAUAAAAGCCUCAUCAAAAUAAUUCAACAACCAACAAAAUGGGCUACAUCGGCAUGUUCCAAAAAAUGUGAUACAUAAGGAAUGAAAAAUAAAUAAAGUAAUC